rnacentral:rRNA from 1 species
GCCAGACUCCUACGGGAGGCAGCAGUGAGGAAUAUUGGUCAAUGGGCGCGAGCCUGAACCAGCCAAGUCGCGUGAGGGAGGACGGCCCUACGGGUUGUAAACCUCUUUUGCCGGGGAGCAACGGGCGUCACGUGUGGCGUCACUGAGAGUACCCGGAGAAAAAGCAUCGGCUAACUCCGUGCCAGCAGCCGCGGUAAUACGUAGGGAGCAAGCGUUAUCCGGAUUUACUGGGUGUAAAGGGCGCGUAGGCGGGAUGGCAAGUCAGAUGUGAAAUCCAAGGGCUCAACCCUUGAACUGCAUUUGAAACUGUCGUUCUUGAGUACUGGAGAGGUUGACGGAAUUCCUAGUGUAGCGGUGAAAUGCGUAGAUAUUAGGAGGAACACCAGUGGCGAAGGCGGUCAACUGGACAGCAACUGACGCUGAGGCGCGAAAGCGUGGGGAGCAAACAGGAUUAGAUACCCCGGUA